GGAGUUAGCCGGUGCUUCUUCUGUGAGUGAUGUCCUUCCUGCCGGCUAUUAACCCGCAGGCCUUCUUCCUCACUGAAAGUGCUUUACAACCCGAAGGCCUUCUUCACACACGCGGCAUGGCUGGAUCAGGGUUGCCCCCCAUUGUCCAAUAUUCCCCCACUGCUGCCUCCCGUAGGAGUCUGGGCCGUGUCUCAGUCCCAGUGUGGCUGAUCAUCCUCUCAGACCAGCUACGGAUCGUCGCCUUGGUGAGCCGUUACCUCACCAACCAGCUAAUCCGACAUAGGCUCAUCCGAUAGCGCGAGGCCCGAAGGUCCCCCGNUUUCCCCCGUAGGGCGUAUGCGGUAUUAGCCUGGGUUUCCCCAGGUUAUCCCCCACUACCCGGGCAGAUUCCCUAUGCAUUACUCACCCGUCCGCCGCUCGCCACCAGGGAGCAAGCUCCCCGUGCUGCCGCUCGACUUGCAUGUGUUAGGCCUGCCGCCAGCGUUCAAUCUGAACCAAGAUCAAAUUCUGA
rnacentral:rRNA from 1 species